GGUUUAAUUCGACGCAACGCGCAGAACUUACCUGGUCUUGACAUCUCGGGAAUACAUUUGGAAACAUAUGAGUGCCUCGCAAGAGGAGCCCGAUGACAGGUGCUGCAUGGCUGUCGUCAGCUCGUGUCGUGAGAUGUUGGGUUAAGUCCCGCAACGAGCGCAACCCUUGUCUUUAGUUGCCAUCAUUAAGUUGGGCACUCUAAAGAGACUGCCGGUGUCAAACCGGAGGAAGGUGGGGAUGACGUCAAGUCCUCAUGGCCUUUAUGACCAGGGCUACACACGUACUACAAUGGCAGGUACAAAGGGCAGCCACUUAGCGAUAAGGAGCGAAUCCCGUAAAACCUGUCUCAGUCCGGAUUGGAGUCUGCAACUCGACUCCAUGAAGUUGGAAUCGCUAGUAAUCGCAGAUCAGCACGCUGCGGUGAAUACGUUCCCGGGCCUU
rnacentral:rRNA from 1 species